GGCUCCUAGUCCUAGCUUUGUUCUCUUUCAUGCUUUGAUUCCCAGUUGGAUUCGAUAUUAUUUUAGAAUCCUAAAAAAUCUCUUCCAUCAGACUAUGGAACGCAUUCAUUUGCAGCUUGUCAUCUUCUUUACAAUCUGUAGUUUAUGCCGUAUCUCACUGCAAGCGUCGAUUAAUGAAAAGCUUUACAAUAGCGAAGUAAUUCGGUCUAUUGAUAUAUCAAGUCAAGUGGUAAAGUGCAAUGCUGUUGUAAGUCUGGAAAAUACUGGUGCAACGUCAGCAAGCUCUUUUCAUGUCCCUAUCGAUGCAGCUCUUUCAAAUUAUCUUGCUUACAUAACUGCUUCGGUAAGAUUUUAAUACAAUUAUGAUUGAUAAACUUUUAUGGCAGAUCUACACUGGAUGACUUGGUCUUCAAUAUUAAAUCAAUAGCACAAUAAUCAUUGUGGGUAAUGUAAAUUCAAACAUUUUCAGGUUGGAGCUGGAGAUGAAAAGUCAAAAUCCUUAGAUGUGAAUGAAGUGCAAAUUAAAGAAUUAAAG